AUAUUACAAACGGGAGUUGGGGUACGAACAUGGGACGAACAGGGGUAUUUUGGUGAUUUUAAGGAGCUUCUGGUCAUGCCCCAUUUUGUUUUCUACACUUUUUUUUCUCUGUCUCUGCAUCUUGGUGUUUAUCUUAUCUCUUUGUGUUCGUGAGUUUUUACUAGACUUUCUUUGUUUUUUGGGGAUUGAUUCUUUUGCUGAAAGUUCUUCUACAUACAUCUCAAUGAUUCUUUAGUUUUCUCAAAUAGAUGUAUAAGCUUAGUUGAGUUGUUAAGGAAAUCAAAAAAGAAACGAAGAUGAAGAAGCAACAGUGGAAUUUUGACAAUUUGAAGAUAAGCUGAAGAGAAUGGAAAAGAAGUGAUUGGGUUUCUUUUGACUAUUCAUGGAUUCUUGUUUUAUUCUACAAACAGAUAAGGCAUUAUGAACUCUAAUGCACCUACGCCGUUGCCGACCCGAGACAACUGACAACUCUUUUACUACUUUGUUUUUGUCAUAAAAUUUCUACGACCUACUCCUCUUUCAGUCAAUGAUCUAAAAGAGGACCUUCAACAGUCAUAGGAUUAGCACAAGGCAAACCAAAUGCACGGCAACAUAGUUUCCAUCAUUAAAGAUAUAUUAGAAUACUAGCAGGGAAUGUCCACGCGAUGCACGAAAGGUCCACAGUGAGCCAAUUGAAGCAGGAACUUCUCACACGAUGACACGGUAUGACCUGCGGGUAAGUUGCCAAAGGUCUGUGAAACAAUUGUAGGUACAACAACAAACAAGUGAAAAAAUAGGAAUAGUAGUAGUAGGAUUAGAAUGAAGGGAAUUGGAAAAAUCCUUAUUGCUGUGAACUCUUUGGUGAUCUUUUUCUUCACUAAAUAAAUUAGGAUUACCAGAUAUUUGCUACUGGUGAAGAUUUGAAUAUAUUUUUGUAGAAAUCAGCCUUCUUAUAAGGACUACUGUCCAACUCUUAAUUUAUUGAACCAACCAAAAAGAGUAGGUGAAAUCGAAGAGAUGAAAAUGAUAGUUUGUAGUAACAGAAUGAUCCUAAGAGCUUCUUCGAAUAAACUUUCAUUGUUUUUGUUCUUUUAUUGGUGGACAUUAUUUGAGUUAUGCUAAGAUUUGGUUUCUUUUCUAUUUUUACGAUUUGAGUUGGUAUUUAAUUUGAAGUUGCUUUGGGUUGUAUAUUCCUUUACGCAAAAAUGGAACUUAUAGAUUUUUUAGCAGGUUGAGACUUUGAUUGUUGCAUGUGUGCAUAACUUUUUAUGUAAAUCUUUUUUUACAUAAAUGUCCUUAUUAUAUUGGGCCCGUGUUGGAGGACGAACAAGGAUAUUUUGGUAAUUACGGGUUCAUUUAGGGAUAAAUAAUUUUGAAAUGUAUUUCAUCACUUAGAAUCCUCUCUCCCCUCCCCUCCCCCCCCCCCCCCCCCCCCCACACACACACACCCCCUCUCUUCCCUCUAAAUUUGCUACUGGUGAAGAUUUGAAUAUAUUUUUGUAGAAAUCAGCCUUCUUAUAAGGACUACUGUGCAACUCUUAAUUUAUUGAACCAACCAAAAAGAGAGCUUCUUUGAAUAAACUUUCAUUGUUUUUGUUCUUUAUUGGUGGACGUUAUUUGACUUAUGCUAAGAUUUGGUUUCUUUCUAUUUUUAUGAUUUGAGUUGGUAUUUAAUUUGAAGUUGCUUUGGGUUGUAUAUUCCCUUAUGCAAAAACGGAACUUAUAGAUUUUUAGCAGGUUGAGUCUUCGAUUGUUGCUUGUGUACAUAACUUUUAAAUCUCUUUUUUACAUAAAUGUCCUUAUUAUAUUGGGCCGUGCAUAGCACGGGCAUCACUUUGUGUAAACAUGUGCACUGCAGUUUUUAUCGAGUAUAUAAAACACAGUGCUCUACUCCAAUGUCCUCCUCUGUCGGAGAAUUUUAUAUAUACAGUACUGUUUAGAAAUUUUCUAUUGCCUUCAACUUUUUACCAGAGCUUCGAAUGACUGGGUUAUCUGAGAUGUGUCGACGUUUAGAGAUGGGUGCAGUUCCGUGCUGUUUUAGGGAUGUAGCUAUGUCAAUUCAUUACUACCGACUCUGGGAGAAGUUAAUUACCUGAUUUUUUGUAGCUAUACUUGAAAUUCCUGUGGCAUUUGUUAUUCUUUUAACCAAUUCCGUACAUGCAUUGAUUGAGCAUUUGCUUUGCUUGCUCCAUCUUUGGGCCUUGGAUUUUGGAUUCAUAGAAUUUCUACAUGUUGGUUCCCUUUUUUUCUUCGCAUUUUUCUUUAAAAAUUUAGGGAAGAAGUUUGAUGCAACAAAGAUGUUUGACAAUAUGCCUCAGGUACUGAAUAUCUUUAUUGAUCUAUCCUCCGGCAAUCCAAAGUGAACACAACAAAAGUAAAAUGGGGAAAGCUAAGCAGAGGCCAGAUCUUUACUGCCAUUCUGGAUUGAUUCGGCACAAAUUGACCUGGAUACUGGUGAUGCUGCUAGUUUAGCUUUGAUGUGGAGCAACCCCUUGAGGUCAAAAAGAGAGUGUAGGAAGGUCGUAAGCUGUCCUGUCCAUCACCUCAAAGUGCUCAGGUUGCGCGGAUAUUAUGGCCGCACUAGUGAACUCGAACUCGUUAGGUAUUUCUUGGAAAAUGCCAAUGUGCUUAUGAAAAUCAUUGUUGAUCCUCAUGAUCGACAUAAUUUUCGUGUCCUGUUGGAACGAAAAGAUAAAAAGGAGGAGCAAAUCGCAAGAAAUUUCGCUAAGCUCCAGCUUGAAAGUGAGGUACCUCCGCAUAUUGAGUUGGUGAUACUGUGAAAGUAAGUUAUUUACGGAAAUAAUAUAUGUUAGUUUUCAGUUCUUUGGACCUGUCCGCUUAAAAUAACGAGUGUAUUUCUUGUGGAGCUUUAUGUAUGAUCUAAUUUAUAUAUCGACAUUUACUUAUUUCUUGUUUAUUUACCCUUCAAUUCCUUGAUAGUAAUAUUUACUUCAACGCUCAAAAUUUAGAAGUUACUUUUAUAAUUAGUCUUUUUGUCUUUAUACAUCAUGUUCUCCUAUUUUUGAGUAAGCACUGUGGAUGUGCGCAUCCUGAGCACCAUUUGGACAGUUGAAAAUUAAUUGCUGGUUGAAUGGCUUCCAACAUUCUUUCAAUAUGACUUACCUGACCGAAGCCUUCUCUUAGAAUAUUAGCAUUAAAAAUGAUCAUAGGCAGCCUGUAACUCUUUAUUAUUUUUGCCUUUGGAUCUCAUCUAGAUUUAUCCAGGACCUGUAAAGUUAUCUGAAAGCUCGAUCUUCCUGCUGUUUUAUCUUGAAAUUAGUAGCUUCCCAAAACGUUUAAAUUUCUGUAGGAUUGUUUCGACACCAAAGAAAAUUGUGUUUCAUUGUUCAGUACAAGUACUUCUAAUGCACUCAAAAGUAGAAUGCUUUGGGAGUUCAUUGGAACUGAUCCUCAAGUUUUUGAACAGCUGCAAAUUUUUGUUGUUUAAGUUUGAACAAAUUUGUAAUGGAAUUACAAAAUGUUCAUAGCAGUUUUCUUUGCCUUCCAUGAUCAAACUAACAAAACGUUUAUAUUUUUUAGAUAUGAAUGUUUGGAGGUCUGCCUCUGCUAUUUGAGGAAUGUUUAAUUUAUUACUUUAGUGCUCUUUAAGCAAGUUACUUAUAAAUUUAUGCUGAUAGUUAACCAACAAGGUCGUUCUAGUAUAGUGGUAAGUAUUCCCCCCGUCACGCGGGUGACAAUGUUCGAUCCUGGCAACAACAUUACAUCUUUUUCGUUAUUUCGUCUCCGUAAUGCUUUGAUAUGGUUCUUCUUAAAUUUAUUGGCUUGUUUUAGCAGUUUCUCUUUCUCUAAAUGGACAACCACAGCAAUGAUUGGAAAAUGUUGAAAUUUUCAACUUUGAGAUGUUAGAUUAUGUGGUACUGGAAAUGUUUCAUCCACUCAAACAGGGUUAAUGAGGAAUUUUACAUUAAAUAUGGUUUGAUCCGCAUCCAACCCGUUUUUACCAUAUAUUAAUGGAUUCUAAGUAGUUAAAUGAUAUAGGUGUCAAAAGCAAAGGCGGAUCCAGGAUUUGAAGUUUGUGGGUUCCCAGCUAGCAGUGUCUGUUGUUACUGGGUUCUCCGCUCAAAUUUCUUAUAUAUUUGAAGGGGUUCACAUUAUAAAUACAAGGUUCGGAUAAAAGUUGUGGGUUCCCGCGAACUUACACCCAAUGGUGUGGAUCCGCCCCUGGUCAAAAGUGCGUAUACAGUCUAGGUUCAUGUAAUCAUCCAACUUAUUUUGAGGUUUGACAGAGAUUAAACGAGUGAUGCUUAACGAUUGAUUGCAAUGAAUUAAGUCCAAAUAGGCUCGCCAGAUUUUUGGGUUGAAAUAGUUACACUAGUGUAAUAUGACAAUUUUGUUGUCAACCCACCCUUUGAAUGUCUUAAGCUAAAGUACUCGAUAAAAGUACUACUAAUUCCCUAGCUAAAAAAUUAAAAGAAAAGAAUGAAAUAAAUGGAUAGAGUCUAUUUUUUCUAA